GCAGACGUGGCCGAGUGGUUAAGGCGAUGGACUUGAAAUCCAUUGGGGUCUCCCCGCGCAGGUUCGAAUCCUGUCGGCUGCG
rnacentral:tRNA from 1 species